rnacentral:rRNA from 1 species
GUGAAAUUCCGUCGGAAUCUGGGAGGACCAUCUCCUAAGGCUAAAUACUCUCUAGUGACCGAUAGUGAACCAGUACCGUGAGGGAAAGGUGAAAAGCACCCCGGAAGGGGAGUGAAAUAGAACCUGAAACCGUGUGCUUACAAGUAGUCAGAGCCCGUUAAUGGGUGAUGGCGUGCCUUUUGUAGAAUGAACCGGCGAGUUACGAUUUGAUGCAAGGUUAAGCAGUAAAUGUGGAGCCGUAGCGAAAGCGAGUCUGAAUAGGGCGUUUAGUAUUUGGUCGUAGACCCGAAACCAGGUGAUCUACCCUUGGUCAGGUUGAAGUUCAGGUAACACUGAAUGGAGGACCGAACCGACUUACGUUGAAAAGUGAGCGGAUGAACUGAGGGUAGCGGAGAAAUUCCAAUCGAACCUGGAGAUAGCUGGUUCUCUCCGAAAUAGCUUUAGGGCUAGCCUCAAGUGAUGAUUAUUGGAGGUAGAGCACUGUUUGGACGAGGGGCCCCUCUCGGGUUACCGAAUUCAGACAAACUCCGAAUGCCAAUUAAUUUAACUUGGGAGUCAGAACAUGGGUGAUAAGGUCCAUGUUCGAAAGGGAAACAGCCCAGACCACCAGCUAAGGUCCCAAAAUAUAUGUUAAGUGGAAAAGGAUGUGGCGUUGCCCAGACAACUAGGAUGUUGGCUUAGAAGCAGCCAUCAUUUAAAGAGUGCGUAAUAGCUCACUAGUCGAGUGACACUGCGCCGAAAAUGUACCGGGGCUAAACAUAUUACCGAAGCUGUGGAUUGUCCUUUGGACAAUGGUAGGAGAGCGUUCUAAGGGCGUUGAAGCAUGAUCGUAAGGACAUGUGGAGCGCUUAGAAGUGAGAAUGCCGGUGUGAGUAGCGAAAGAUGGGUGAGAAUCCCGUCCACCGAUUGACUAAGGUUUCCAGAGGAAGGCUCGUCCGCUCUGGGUUAGUCGGGUCCUAAGCUGAGGCCGACAGGCGUAGGCGAUGGAUAACAGGUUGAUAUUCCUGUACCACCUAUAAUCGUUUUAAUCGAUGGGGGGACGCAGUAGGAUAGGCGAAGCGUGCGAUUGGAUUGCACGUCUAAGCAGUAAGGCUGAGUAUUAGGCAAAUCCGGUACUCGUUAAGGCUGAGCUGUGAUGGGGAGAAGACAUUGUGUCUUCGAGUCGUUGAUUUCACACUGCCGAGAAAAGCCUCUAGAUAGAAAAUAGGUGCCCGUACCGCAAACCGACACAGGUAGUCAAGAUGAGAAUUCUAAGGUGAGCGAGCGAACUCUCGUUAAGGAACUCGGCAAAAUGACCCCGUAACUUCGGGAGAAGGGGUGCUCUUUAGGGUUAACGCCCAGAAGAGCCGCAGUGAAUAGGCCCAAGCGACUGUUUAUCAAAAACACAGGUCUCUGCUAAACCGUAAGGUGAUGUAUAGGGGCUGACGCCUGCCCGGUGCUGGAAGGUUAAGAGGAGUGGUUAGCUUCUGCGAAGCUACGAAUCGAAGCCCCAGUAAACGGCGGCCGUAACUAUAACGGUCCUAAGGUAGCGAAAUUCCUUGUCGGGUAAGUUCCGACCCGCACGAAAGGCGUAACGAUUUGGGCACUGUCUCAACGAGAGACUCGGUGAAAUCAUAGUACCUGUGAAGAUGCAGGUUACCCGCGACAGGACGGAAAGACCCCGUGGAGCUUUACUGUAGCCUGAUAUUGAAAUUCGGCACAGCUUGUACAGGAUAGGUAGGAGCCUUUGAAACGUGAGCGCUAGCUUACGUGGAGGCGCUGGUGGGAUACU